AGGACAGGAAGAAUGCAGGAUGUGACAAUGAGCUGUGUGUGGGGCUGGGCACACACACAAUGGGCAAACAUUGAGUAGAGACGGGGAGACUGAAAUGUCAGUAACAGGCGACAGCACUCUUCAGCACUCUUCGGUUUCUUCUAAACUGCACUGAGGUUCAUGGUUCUGAACACUUGGAGUCUGAGAGAUGGGCCUUGAGGAUGACGUCCCAGCCUCCUGACCCACAGGGGUGAUGCCAUACACUCCCGCCACCACCAAGAGAGCCCAGCUGCCAUGAACUGCACUGUGCUUUCCCAGCCAUGAUGGAAUAUUCCUAACUGCAGCCUAAAAAGGACCAGCCUACACCCAAAAGGUGAAAAGAAGCAAUGUGCCUAAGGACAAGAUAUGAAGGUGCCCCUUCAGUGAGGUGUCAGUCAGCUAAGCUGGCCUUGGCGCUUUUGCAGCUAGACCACGUUGUGGCUUCUUGUCUACUCCUGAUGUCUUCUUCCUGCCGUGAUUGCUCCUGGGCUGGUUGGUCGACCACUUGACUCCUUCCACAACCCCAUUAGACUGGAGUGACUUGGGGUGUCAAACUCUACCAGGAGUGACUGGGGCACCUUCUCGGGCCCCUUGGGAGCUGGGGACCUGCCAUGUGGUCAGCUGAGAUGCAUCUGGCUGCCACGUUGCUUUCAUAGCUUGCCUGCCAGCCCCCCAGCUCUCUGGGUCACUCCUCUUCUGAUGUUGCCACCAUACUCGGCUCAGUUACCACGCUACUGGAGGUUACCAGCUCAGCCCACACUACUGGAGGAUAAGGUGGAGUCACGAUGGAGGUGGCCUCACUCCUCAUCGCUGAGACCAGUGGAUUAUUCUAGGCUGAAUUUAUCCUGGAGGCCAGAUCCCCACUACCGAGAUCCAGCGUGUGGACUGAGCUGCAAAGCCCUGAUUUCUAUUCAGUCUCCGGUGUGUGUUUCCCAGUGUGCUGUAGCACCAUAGGCCCAGCAGAGAUGUUCAGCAUGACAGAUUUCCUCCAGUCAUUUCUUUAGUGCACCCCAUGAAUUGUUUAAUUAAACAGUACUGUAAGUUAUUUUUCCAUUGUGUGGAACUAUUGAUUUGAACUGAAGUAUGUGAUCUAUUCUUGUUCUACGUCUACUUCAGAAGAAGGUAUUUUCUCUCAUUAGAGUGUGGAAUCUAACAUUUGUGUGAAAGGGCUACUUUCUGCUUAUGAUUUUGUAGCCUUGCCUCUUUGCUCUAUUGGAUCCAUGGUUCAAUAUUAUCUGAGACAGAUGUGUCAGAUAUAUAUAGAUAUAUAGAUAUAUGUAUAGAUAUAUACAUAUCUUCUUACUUCUUACUGGGAUAUUUGCUGCCUAGAUUGAUAAAUCUUCAUGUGAAAAUAGCUUUUAGAAUUACACCAUAUUCUUUGCCUCACUGAGUGGCUUUUGGACUAAAGUCUAUUUUGAUAUCAAGAUUAUGAUCUAUGGUGUGUUUCUUUCCUUCCUUCCUUCCUUCCUUCCUUCCUUCCUUUCUUCUGUCUUUUUUCUCCUUCCUUCCUUCCUUCCUUCCUUCCUUUCCAGGCUUGGCACAUUUUAAUCACUCCUUAGUUUUAUAAUUAGUCACUAAAAGCAUAUCUCAUGUAUAUACUACAGAGUUAGGUUUAUUCUGUGUAGAAACUUUAAAAUAUUUUACACUAAACAUUUUAGCUUAUUUCUAUUUGCUGAUAUGACUAUUUAAUUUCAAUUCUGCCUUAAUAUAUAUUAAUUUAUGAUUAACAUGUAUACAUUUCUAUCUAUCUAUCUAUCUAUCUAUUACUUUACUGUUUCUCUUUUGUAUUUUACCUUCUUUAAAAAGUUUUAAAAAUACGUAUUUAUAUUUAUUUCAUGUGUAUAUGUUUUUUCAUGUGUAUAUGUUUUGCCUGUAUAAAUGUGUAUGCACUACAUGUGUGUGCAGUGCCCACGGAGGCCUCAAGAGGGCCCCGGGCCCUCACAAAGCAGUUACAGGUGGUUCUGAGCUGCAACAUGGUACUGGGAACUGAAUUUGCAUCCUCUGUGUGAGGAGAUGGUGCUCUUAACUGCUGUCCAGCCUUAUUAAACCUUAUUUUAUUUUGUUUUUUAAGUAUUUGAGUAUUUAAAAAAAUUUAAAGUGUUUCCCAGGUGAUCAUGUUUAUCUUAGUAUAUUUUAUAGUAAACAGUCAGUAAUUUUAUUUUACUCUCUGUUUUUCCGUGUGGAAUUGUUUGGCUAACUGUCUCUCAAGGCUUUUGUGGGGAGUCCUUUGUAGACAUCAUGUAGAUAGCAGGGAGGCGACAGAGCAACUUGAUCUUUAGGCUCUAAGAGUUUUAUAUGAUCAGGCCAGAAAAUCACAAUUCUGAGUCAUUUUUCUCCUCUUUGGUCUUCUGUGCAUGGAAAUAUUAACCAGAUUAUCUUCAUAAACACUGGUUUGCUUCCUUUUUGUUUUAGACCAACAUGUGUUGAUUAUAAAUUCCACCCUCUUUCUAUUCACCCUUCCACACUCUUCCCAACCUCUGUAAGUCACAAUGUUACUUCAUAUUGAACUUUCAGCUUUCAUAUACGAGAGAAGCAUGUAGCAUUCGUUUUUCCGUAUCUGGAUUAAUUCAGUUAACACAAUGUUCUCCAGUUACAUCUAUCUGCUGCUGCAGAUGAGGGCUUCAUUUUUCCUGGCCGAGUAAUACUCCAUUGUAUAUAUACACCACAGUUUCUGUAUCCACUCAUUUGCUUCUAGCCUUGGGGGCUGGUGCCAUAUCUUUGCUGUUACAAAUAAUUGACUAGAAUAUAUAAACAACUCAGAAAACUGCAACAAAAAAUUCCUAGCAAUCCAAUUAACAGUGGGAAUAGAUUCUUAAAACAAAAUUCAAGUGGCUAUUUUUUAGCAAGUAUACAAAAAGUGUUGCAUAUCAUUUACUACUAAGGAGACACAACCCUAACUACAAGACAGCAUCUUAGACUCUGCUGAGUACCUUCUAUUUUAGUUUUGUUUUCUGAUACUGUUUUGUUUUUCUUACCUUCCUUUUUUUUCUUUCUGAGCCCAUGGUCCAUACAGUGACUUAGAUGCAGACUCCCAAGGAUUCUGUGAAUUCUUUAACACUUUCCUAGUCCCCUUAUGAGGUACUGAAGUUGCUAUCAUAAUGUUUUAAUUUGCUAUGCUUGAGAAUAUUUCUUCCUAUAAAAGUAUCUGCCCAUUAGGGUUUCGAAAAGAGGAAGUGAAAUGUAGCUCUCAGGUACUUGGGAUAGAGAUUACCAAUGUUCCGUAAAGAGCCCGGGGGUCAGGUCAGUACCUUCAGCGUUUUGAGCUAUGUGUGCCUUGCCACAACCAUUUUAAUAGAAAAUAGCUAUAAUGAUAUUUAAAUAAAUGAGCAUGACUGUGUGUCUCGAUCAAAAUUUAUAAACAGAACCAGGCAUGGAAUAUAAUUUAAUGUUUAAUUUAAGCAAAGUGUGACACAGGAUAAGCUAUACAUAACUCUUGAUAAAUAAGAAUACAGCAAAGAUGAAACGCUAUUUUUAAAGAUGAUUGUUUAAGACACACUUAUGCCAUGCCUUUGUCAGUAAACAGGGUGAGCUCUGGAUGGACAUAGGUUAAGCAUGCAGACAGGAAUACAUAGAAACACAUGUACAUACCUGCCACAUUCACGUACUCCUCCACAUAGACUUUGUUCACACUUAAGAUUCAGUGGAGCUAUGUAUUUCAAUUUUUAUUUAUUAAUACUUUGCUUUCUGAUAUCUAUCUAUCUAUCUAUCUAUCUAUCUAUCUAUCUAUCUAUCUAUCUCCUGAUAACUUUCUCUCUUUCUUUCUCUCUCUCUCUUUCUCUCUGAGACUAUCUAUCUCCUGAUAACUUACUCUCUGUCUCUGUCUCUGUCUCUGUCUCUGUCUCUGUCUUUCUCUCUCUCUCUCUCUCUCUCUCUCUCUCUGAGACUAUCUAUCUAUCUAUCUAUCUAUCUAUCUAUCUAUCUAUCUAUCUAUCUGACCAAAUUUGGCUUCACUGUCACCGUCCUCCUGAAUGCUGAGAUUGCAAAUCCUUGCCACCACACCACUGUUUCAUUUCUCACUGAUGGUCCCUUGCCACCAGGAACUUGCUGGUUGAGAUCCCCACUUGGCUUAGUGUGCCUGGGAAAGUCAAACAUUUCAUGGUGUCUGAGCACAUGCCCGGCUGCUGCACACAGACAAGGAACGGCUAAGGCUCCCGUCAAUGGUGUCUUGAUUGGCUCUGUCUUUGAUUACUGUUUUACAAAUGGGAACAAAGCUUGUGUGCUCAUAUUCGGUGUCAUUUUUGUACACAUGUAGGUGUUGUAGUGCCUCGAGGCUUUUCUAGAUCACUUUGAUGCUUUAUGUCAGGUGUUGGGUGGGGCCUAUCCCCUUCACAGUGUCUUUGGAAUCCUCUUUGGAUUGGGAAUCAUGUGCAGAUUAGUAUGAGAAGCAAAAGACGGUGACUAAGUGGGCGGUGUCUCCAGUGUGGCGGCUCCCAGGCUGGCAAGGUGCAUGGUUGCACACAUAGACACCAUCAGCUCCCAUAGAGUAAUGGAUUGGAAUUAGGAAGGAGUCAGGGAGGGCUCGGAAGAGGGUCCAGUUGAUAAAGAGCUUGCUAUACAAACAUGAAGACCCAACUGAUUGAAAAAGCCACCUGUGGUGGCAUGUGCUUGUAAUUUCAGAGCUGAGGAGGCAGAGGCAGGCAGAUCCCUGGGGCUCUCUGGCCAGCCAGCCCAACCUACUUGGUGUACAUCAGUGAGAGAUCCUGUCUCAAAAAAACAAGGUAGACAUGGGCCCAGUGACACUUGGGAUUGGCCCCUGGUCUCCAUGUGCACACAUGGCGCACACACACACACACACACACACACACACACACACACACACACACACACACACACACUUUGUUCUCCACCAGGUGCUGCUCUGAAUGCAGGUGGGAGCUGAUUAAUGCCCUUGGGUAACCCUGUGGCAUUGAUGCUGCUGAUGACAAGGAAGGAUAAUUAGUGUUUUUCCAGGUGUCCGACCCUCGGACAGAAGGAGGAGGCCGGAUUUGUGCCAUGAGAUGAUCAGUUGGUGCCACCUGGGGACUUGAAUUUCUAAGUUUCUUUUGGCUUCCUGCUGGUUUUUGCAGUCCCACCUGCCUUGGGAAUGUCUUGGCUUCUCAGGUUGCAGUCAGGCAGGCCCUGACACAGCAGGAAGAUUUGCUGACUGUAAUCAGCCCGUGAAACAGCUGUUCAUGAAGGAAGCUGAUGGUUCCGCUUCCCCUCUGCUCGCCCGCCCUGCGCUGAAUGAGGCGCCCAUUCAGGAGUAGCGGAGAUGCGCACCCCUCCCCAGCACGAAAGUAAAAUUAAAGCAAUGUAACGUUUUUCCCCAGUCACACUCUGGUUGAAAAGAUGAAUCACCGUCCCAUUUGUGUACUCAGAGGCAUCUAGUGAGGGCCGAGCUGGCUUGCAGACUAAUUCUCUUCAGAAAUUGUGCCUUGAUAACAGAUGGAUAUCGUCCUGUGUGCUUGGCAAAAUGGUACCCAUCCUGCUGACCUAGAGGAAACGUGAAUUGCUGUUUUCCUGGAAUAUUAGUGCUGAGGUUUUAUUUACCUUGAAUCAAAUGGCCACAUAUUAUCACAGGUUACCUAAUGCUGCAUUGGGGCUUAAGUAAGCCUCUGUGAUGUCCUAAAAACAAUAUAUGCUCUCUCUUUAAUCAAUUUCAAACCAAACAAGGUUGCCAUUUGAGACCUCCUAGGGCUUGGGUUGUUUUUGAGUAGAUGAGAGCUGCAACAGAGUCAAGAACAUGAAAAGACCUUGGGAAACUUAACUCACUCCUGCUUAGCUUUCUGGUGGCUGGGGUAGAGUGUGAGGUAGAAGCUUCUGCUCUAGCAGCAGCAGCACUCAACACGUGGGGCGUGACCCCUUUGGGGGCCAAAUGAACCUUUCACGGGGGUCUCACAUCAGAAAUCCUGCAGAUCAGAUAGUUACAUUAUGAUUCCUAACUAGCAAAAUGACAGUUAUGAAGUAGCAACGAAAUGAUUUUAUGGUUGGGGGUCACCAACAGUGUGAGGAACUGUAUUAAAGGGUCAGAGUAUUAGGAAGAUUGAGAAUCACUGUGCUACAGGAACCAUAUUUAAGGGCUCACUGGUAGUGCACCUAGUGUGCUGGAAGCUCUGGGCUUGAUCCCUAGCACUGCCCACAUAGAAAAGAGUCAGCCCCCAGUGCCAGCUAUGGAAAAGGACUAACUGGUGGACUAUUUUAUUGAACUUUAGAUAAGACUUUGGGAAGAUUAUUCAUAUCCAUCUUUAUUAAGACAGAGUGACUGCUGUUAGCCAAUUAAAAUAUCGGAUAUUUAUUUCUUUGCCUUUGGGGCCAGUAGUUUACACGAUAAGAUGCGGUUUAAAGAAGGGCUUGAAGGGCUCUGGGCCUCCUGUGUCUUUGUUUCCUCUAUUUCAGAGGGCGUGGCUCAGCUCAGAAAGCUUCAGGCUUCAUCAUGGUUCUAUUUCCUGGGUCAUCUCAUUUGUCCCCUUCCAGGGGACCUGUGGGCUCUCUGAAUUAGUCCGACCUUGUGGUUAUGCAGGUAAAAGCCCCUGCUGUAUCAUCGCCUUCAGGGUUUUAAUUCACUCUGGCUGCCGUUUCCGCUUGGUGUUUCACCCUCUCCCAAUCACCUUCUUGGGUGCUAUACUGUAACAUACGAUUGGAGCGUCCCCUCUGAAGUCCUUGUUGAAUCUGAGUGUCACUGAUGGUCUGAUGGUUUGGGAGGCUGGACCCUUUAAGAGUGGAUUAGGUCUCGGGGGUUCCACCCUCCUGAGUGGGUUAACAGAAUUGUCUUGAGAGUGGGUUCAUCCUAGUAGAGUUAUUGUGAGAGUAGUUCUGCUGGAGAAGCAGCCCUCUGUUGUUCCACAUGCACUCACUUUCCUGGGCUGUAAGAAGCUGUAAGAAGCCCUUACUUAACACUGGCACCUUGACAUCCGAGUUCCCAGGCCCUACCACUGUGGGGACAAUUCUCUUUUUUCUUUAUUAGGUUACAGGUUCCUUAUAUUCCUUUUUUUUUUUUCCGGAGCUGGGGACUGAACCCAGGGCCUUGCGCUUGCCUAGCAAGCACUCUACCACUGAGCUAAAUCCCCAACCCCCUUAUAUUCCUUUAUAACAACACUGAAUUGAUGAAGACAUACGGAGUCUCUCUGAAAGACACUAUGCACCGUGGACUGACGUCACCCAGGUUUGACUAGCUCCUAACAUCUGUCCUCCGAAGGAUAUGGAAAAUGGCACCACUUCCUAAUCCAUCAUGAAAUGUGACUCAGCCACCCCAAAGGCAGCCAAGUCACAACCCUUAAAGGAGUAGAGGUUGGAUGAUGAUUCAAAAAAGAUUAGAAACAGACCCAGAAACGGCAUAAGAUCUGUUCCCUGGAGCUUGCUUACUACCCCUCCCCCAACUCCUCAGUAGAUACUCUCAUUCUCUCUCUCCUGUCUCCCUCUUCCUGCCCCUUCCCUCCCCUGCCCUCCCCUCCCCCUCCCUUACCCUCUCCCUCUUUCCUUUCUGAUUCUAGGAUCUAAAGUUUGGAGGCUACAUCUGUUGUCCAAUCUGGCAUCUUCCAGAAAGCAUGGGGUAAAUAACUAACCCUUUCUUUCAAAGGCAGAGCUUGCAGAGGAGAGCAGCCACUGCUUGCUUUUCUUUUACGGUUCUGUAGAGGCCCUGCUCAUGUCUAGAGAUGUCCAGCAUUUUCCUGCAUAGAGGACUCAGUCGGCUCCCCCUGAUCUGAUUUGAUCUACAGCUUUUGCCAUUUCCCCUCAGAGCAGAUGGCUCAAAUUGAAUGGGUGAGUUUCUGCAGGUCAGUUGAGGUCACAAUGGACUUCAGACCUCAAGUUGGGAGCUUCACUCACAAAAGUUCUAGAAAUUCUGGCUGGGAUAGCUUUGCAUUAUCUUGAUCUCUCCUCUCAUUUCAUUAGUGGAGGUAACUGGAGUUGACUAGAGUGCCACAGGUGAUUGCUGUCCUGGGCUGUUAGCUACCCCGACUUCUUCUGUCAUUAAAUUAAUUGUAGUCCAUGAGGCAAUUUUUUAAAUGGCAGGGAACAUUUAGAACCCAGAGCGAAAGGUUGGAACACUGGGGGGAGAAUUACAGACUUCAGAUAGCUCGGUCUAUUCAGGUCAAAGCCAUUACAUGACUCUUAAAAGUCAAGUGCUACUAGAACUGACUGAAGGAGCCACACGGAUGCCAGGGAGAGGCUGGAGGAGGGCAGAGCUCCAAGGGCAGUCAUGGGACCAGAAAGCAGACUGGAGCUACAACAGUGCAAGACGCUCGCAUGGUGUCGGACCAGAGGAGGCAGUGAUUUCAGAGUGUUGAUUGAUUUUGGUGUUCAUGUUGUGUACUUUGAGGUGGUUGGGAGCAUGAGGGUGGGGGGAUGGGAUGUUAAGGAUCUGGAGACCUGUGAUUCAAGGAACAGCCCGUCAGUGGAGCGUUAAUGAACAUUAAGAAAAAUGAUAACAUCAGAUCCAUGGUUCAGUUGGGAGAUUCCAACAACAACCAAGGUGCCUCGAAAUUUUUAAAUAUAUACAUGAACAAUGUGAAUCUGUGGGGUGUACGUAGCUGAUGGAAGGUUUCUAUAAUUUCUCUGUGUACCAAGCUAUUUGCCGCUACCUAACUCACACAAUUAAUCUUCUGGCAGUAAAAUCUGGGGACUGUUGGCCCAGCAUAUGCAAUAGUAUUCUGGAAGCCAGGUAGGCGGGAGGCACUCAGUUCUGAUUUCUGGCUCCUAUAGCUAGGACUAAAGAAAGUCACAAGAAAUGGAUGUUUCUCGGCUUCAGGAUCUUCCCUAAGCCCAAGCCCAGCACUGAAAAUGAAAGUGCUAGAUGCUACUGAAGGUCAAAUAAACUCUAAGAAUAAAGUUUAAUUUCUGCACUUAGGAACUCUGGGAGUGUCAAGACUCUGGCCCGUUCAUUUCAUGAUUGUUUCUUAGUUGGUAUCUGGGAGUUAGGAGAGCUGAGGGCAUUUGGGAUGGAAGGAAGGAAGGUGGUAAAUAGAUCCAUUGUAGUUGCUUUGCCUUGACAGGCUCUUCAUUCAGAUGAAAAUUGUGCUACCCAAGUUGCUAGAGUGUGUGCAGUGGGCACUUUAAGUGUGGUCAGCGUUUGGGGGGUCAUUUCUUUCUAGCAGCAGAGCAUACUUGGAGUGUAUUUGAGAAUGAAUGAGAAGAUGUGAUAGCCCCUGGUUAACUAUUUUCCUCUGUUGGGGUUUGAAGUUCUAUCAGUGAUGUAGUUUAUGGUCUUUGUAAUUCUUGAACUCGGUCCUCUAAUGGGAACCCCGUCCAAUUUGUGCAGGAAGAAUGGAUGGGCAUGCUAGGAAAAAAAAAAACAAAUGAAAAGAUGGGGGAAUCUAAUUUUUGCCAAUGCUUAGGGCUUUGGGAUGCUGCUCCAUGAAUCUGUAACUUAGUCUUGCCUACCAUGCAUGGCACAGCAGCUUAAUCAGCAUCACUUCUAUCGUGGGUUGAUUCACGGAUUCACUGGGAGACUCUGCUUUGUACUGGGCGUGGGCAGAGACGCAGCAGUGCACACCAGUAGAGAAAACAAGGGUUUAGUGUUUCUCAUGGAGGAAUCUCAUUGUGAGUAAAUGAACAGGCAAAUAAGGACGCCUCUAAUGUAGAACCAUGAGGCUGUGGGGAACAUUUUGCCUUCAACUCGAGACUGAGGGUAAUCCAUUGUUAAGUAGUUAAGUAAGUAAGAAGAGGAACUGGGUCAUCGUGAAGGUCAGGGAACCUCCUCUGAGCAUGUGCCAUUUGUGUGUAGAUCUACAGGAUGAAAUGAAGGACUGAGAAUAUGAGUGGCUGGGAGAAGCACCAGGGAAAGAGGCAAGAUCACUACUGUAUCAAUGAUGCCAAUGCACCAAAACAUGCCACAUCUCAAUGCUUGUAUUCACAGCAGAGCAGAGCAUCUAAAUGGUUAGAGCCUGUAGUCACAGCAGAACACAGCAGGCAGCCAUAAGAAUCAGUGUUUUGUUCCAACCAAACAAGGAUGGCAGCUAUGUACUGGGACCUUCUAGGAUUAUCAGUGACUCCUCAAAAUUGUCCCAGGAGUCCCCAUUAGGCCAUUAGGAAGAGGGUUCUGAGGCUCAGUUGAAUUAUUACGCCAGUGACUGGAGGUGGCAUGCAUCAGUUCCAGCAGGGUUCAUCGGUGGUGACUGGUACACAUGAGCUCACAUCACUACAAAGGCCUGGGUUUGUCAUCUUGUCACGUUCCCUGGAAUAAAAAGAGAAACGUAAACAUCUCCAGCACCAGCAUUCUUUGCCACAUGUCUGAGUCACUUCAGGGAGGUCAUCAGUCUUACUGGAACAUGGAGAUUGGGUUGUGAGUUGUAUGGAAGAAAUAUCAGAGGGAUUCAAAUAAAAUUAUAGACCUUGCAAACAGGGGACUGCUGCUGUGUUUCAUUAAGCUUAAAUUUUUCUUAACUUUAAGCUACUAUAUUUUGUGUACUAGCAAUAAAGAACAAUUCUCUUCUAAUUAGGUGACAUAGCCUGCUUUUUCUGUUAUGCAUAAUUUAAUUUCCUACUCGAAAUGUUUAACUAACAGGUAUUUUAUAUUUAUUUUGCGGGCACAUCAUGGGUAUUUGAUCCAUGCACGUAAUGUACAACUUUCAAAUCAGGGUGGAACACUUUAUUUGCAACUUAGUGAAAGGAUUAUCUGAGAUGUAUUUAGAUAAUAGAGCUGUGUUUAAAUUAUGUCAGUGUCUAGAUGGCUUGAUAACACAUACAUGUGCAUCACCAUGCACUUACAUGCAUCACCGUGUACAUCCCACAGAAAAAGAGGCAUAUGCAAAACAAAUGAAGAAUGUGUUUGCAUGGAGAGGCUGGGUUUUCCCAAUCACUUUUCAGGUCUGUUAUCCUCAUCCACUGAGGAAUGCCCUAAGGAAACCCAUGCCCACCCAGUUUCUUGUGUCUCCUCACCUUUCUAACAUAUUUUGAUGCACUAAAUUUUCUCUAUUCUAUUCUAACAGAAAAUAACACCCAGGGAAUCAGUUUUCUCCAAGCUGUCUUUAAAGGCAGUUUGGAUGAAAAGUUUUAUCGGUUGUAGCUGUCUAGAAAAGCCAUGUGAGUCAAGUUCAUGUGUGUUCAGCCAGUCCACCAUGACCCAUCAGGCCCUCAGUACUCAUGGAGCCUUAUCGAGACUCUAUGAAUCCCAAUUUAAGAUAUAUUAAAGUGUGCAAGCUCGUGUCUUCCCAUGGACUGACCAUAUGUCAAAUGUGAAGGAUAACCAGGUCCCUUUAAGAUGAUCAAGACUCCAGCUACUGGCUUCACGGCGUAUUUCUUUCUCUAACUUUUCUGUUCGUUUUCGUUUGAAAUUUUGAGGCAGGGUUUCUCUGUGUGUAGCCCUGGCUAUCCUAAAACUUGCUCUGUAGACCAGGCUGGCCUCAAACUUAGAGAUCUGCCUGCCUCUGUCUCCUGGGUGCUGGGAUAAGAGAUGUGCAUCACCCCCUGCCUGGCUAAAUGGUACAUUUCUAAAGGAGGCAUGUGGAGUGGGAUUUGAGGAAGAACCAUCCGCAGUCACGAUCUUGAUCUCAGACAUAAGACAACAGUUAUGCUUCCUGGUUCAUCUCAGAGGCAUGGUGGGCAGAAGGAAAUGGUACGUGCACAGUCUGCACCCUACUGCAGGUGCAGGCUUCUAUCUUUUGCAUGGUCUUUCUUCCUGGCUUAGGAUUUACACUGGGCAGAUUCUGAGGGAUCGUUGUGUGUAACUUUUCACUACCUUGCCUAAGCUACGUGAGCGGGUUGCACUUCUAACCCCCACCCAGCUUUCCUUGAAUCCAUGAAUAAAAGACAGACAGACAGACAGACAGACAGACACACACACACACACACACACACACACACUUGUUCAUUUUCAACUUGCCUUCUUGGCAGAAUUGCUGGGCCCUACUAUCUCCCACCUGAAAAGCACUCCCUUAUUAAUAUUCUUUGCUCUGCUCCUCUCACCUGCCCUAACUUUAGUUGCUCAGUUAAAUCUGGUUCCUGCUAACAUCCCUGACCAGGUACCUGACUGUAGGAGUGACCUGUGUAGCUACUCCAUUUCAAGAUCUCACAUGGCCGGUCAACUUUCUUCACGAAUCCUGGGGAAUGAACACAGACGAAGUGGACAGACUUCUAAACACAUGGUAUCUUUGGUGAGCCCUGUCCCCAGAGAGUCCUGUGAGGCUUUCAGAGAUUCCAAAGUCAUACUAAAAAUGAGAGACCGUCAAGACAGUAAUGUUUUAAAGAUAAGAUGGGACUUGAGAGAGUCGCUAACUUCCAUAUUGAGUGGUUGGUGAUCAUUUAAUUUUGUCGUACCUGAGGAAUUUACAGCCAUUAUGAGUGGACUUGUUAGAUUGUCUUAGCUUGAACUGUUCAGGUUAAAUUAUCAACGAGAAGCUAUAUUUAUAGAGGGUUGAGGUUGUAAAAUCAGGGCUUCUGGAGUGUUUAAUUAAAAUGACCUAUUUAAUUAUUUUUCCUUUCUUGCUCUGUUCCUUAUAUUAUCAUCUCAAAUUUAAAAAGAUUGGCUGUGUGAUUUUGUUUUAUUAGAUUCACAUUCAUUUGUCUUGAAGUCAUCCGUGUGGUUUGCAGGGGUAAUCCAUGUGGUUUGGGGGGUAACUGUCUGUGUUUGAUUGCUGUUGCCUUAACUCUACUGCUGCUUUCACCAUUCUUCUGGGUGUUUCCCCUCCACAUUAUUGGGCACGUGACAAUCCCUUCUUGGAUGCUUUAUAGGUAUUUUAAGAUAGGUUUUUGGGGGAGAGCAUUUCAUUGAAUGGAUUUCAACUAUCUAAUUAAUUCAUCAGAAAGGAGGCAGGACGAGAGAGAAGUCCCAUAGACCCAGGUGCAAUGGGAAACAAAUUAGGUUGAAUUCUUAGCAGAUCUAGAGCACACUUGGGUUAGGGGAACAGGAGGGUGUGUGUGUAUUAUGUGCACGUAUGUGUGGGAAUACUUAUACAACCUCUGUGCAGAGGACAGAGGAGAAUAUCAGGUAUCUUAUUCUGUCACUCCUCAUUUUAUUCCUUUGAGACAGGGUCUCCCACUUAACCUGGCUGAGAGUCUAUGAGCAAGAGAUCUACUGAUUUUCUUAUUUCUGCCCUCAAUAGUGCUGGAGUUAUAGGUGCAUAUAGCUGUGACUUUUUACAUGAGUGCUGGGGAUUUGAACUCAAGCCCUCACGCUUGCACACCAAAUGCUCUUACUCGACAGGCAUCUUCCCUCCCUCAUCAGUGACUUAAUACAACUAUGCAUUUAUCUUUUAUGCAUGUUAGUAAGUUGAGAUAGAAAAUCUGACUUGUAUAUUCCAACACAGACGGUUUUACAGAUAAGGACAUCCCAUGUGAGUUUUAAACUUCCUUUGAAGAAUGAUGGGAUGGAGGAGAGGAGCUCAUGGUGCUCAACUAUAAAAUAUCAACUUGUCACAACCUAAAAGUACUUGGGAAGAGAACCCGAAUGAGGAAUUGCUUCGAUCAGAUAGGCCUGUGGACAAGUCUGUGAGGGGUUAUCUUGAUUGCUUUAAUUGGUGGGAAGACACGCCCUGCAUGUAGGUGGCACCGUUUUUAGGAUGAACUCUGCAAGAGUAAAGAAAGCUAGUUGAAGAGCAGCAGGCCGGCAGUGUGACUGUGUUUAGUUUCCCCUGGUCUUCGCUGUGGGUAGGACGUGACUGGCUCUCUCAAGCUCCUGCCCCCGUAACUUCAAUGAUGGACAGUAACCUGAAACUGUAAGACACAAACCCUCACUGUUGUAAGCUGCUCUGGGGCAGGGUGUUUCAUCACAGUCACAGCAACAGUGGGGAGGGUUGGGUUUUAGUUUUCCUGAGUUUCCUUUUCUUCUCUUUCGGUCAAGAAAUAUAUUCCUCUUUAAUGUUUGAUUUUGUUUCAGUUUUCUUAUUGUGAGGGAGGGAACAACGGGUGGUUGUACUAUCACUCUCCGAACACGAAGGGACGUCUAUGCCCACAUGGGAGAGUGUUGGAGUCAGGGAUGAUUAAACUUUCUUCAAGUUCAGAUGGGAAUCCUGGGAUAUGUGUUUGCAUGUAAAACUGAAGCCAGUGAACUCCGAGGGGAGGCAUAAUCCUGGGGUUGGGGCUGGGGUCAGAGAGAUGGUUUGAAGAGGCGAGUUUGCCCAAAACCUGUCAUGAGAAUUUAAGCCAUGGAUGAUGGGAAAUUGUGGAGGGAAGGAACAGGCGUUGUGUGAACUUAUGCAAUCAGCACGAGGGCCCACACUCUGGCUGGCUCCAGACCAGCAGCUCUCUGAGGAGAACUGUCAGGAUUAAUCAGGGUUUGCGCAGAGACUGCAAAACCCAGAAACCCCGGUGAGUGCCAAGUGUUAUCAGUUUGCAUCACAACUUAGGUAUUUGGUGUCUUGGGGCGAGGAGGAGCCAUUUGCAGGAAAUCUUAGUUUUCUAGUGAUGAUCUCUUGCUCCCAGACCUCGUUUUGAUUUCCCUGGAGGUCAGUGGCUCAGGAUUCUUUGUGGUUGUUCUACUUACCUCCUUAGUGCCACAAUACCUGUGCUAUGUUCCUUUGGUCUCUGUUCGUACUCAUAAUUUCAAGUUAAAGCUAUUUUAUACAUGGAAAGAGUAAAUGGAACUGCAGGGCAGACCCUGGAAACUGUCUUAAUUGUGACCAACAGACAAAACUGUUUCCUUUAGAAGACCGCUGCCUUCCCACCUUCCCCUCAUGCAAUGCCCUGAAGAGAGUCUGGAGUCACAGAAACAUCUGCACCAAAAGCAGUCCCAUCCCGAAGUGCAGGUUCCCUUCAUCCCAGCCACUUGCCAUCAGUCCUGGGUUCAGAGCUACUUUCUCCCCGCUGUAGUAGACAGAUGCAACAUGCUGACAGAGUUUGGAGAAGCCAGGUCUAGGUGCUGGUGAGGCAAAUGGAAUGCGGCAGGUUUCUUUGUUUUAAGUGGAUGAGGAUAGAUGUACAAUAGAAAGAUAAAAAGCAAAUCAAGACCGUCUCAGUGUGUUAGAGAGCCGUACUGGACUCCCAGGCAGAGGCCAGCUCAGUCACAGCAGCUCUAAUAAUGACGGAGAUGAUGAUGGAUACUCUUUAGCCCUGAAAUGCUGUCAGUCACUGGCUGCAGAGAAAAAGCUGUCUUCCUGCUGGCGUCUACUGUCCACAUCUGGAGAAGGUAUCAGUGUCUUUUGAGCUCCUGUGUGUCUUCUAGAAUCUUUCAUUUGUUUAUGCUUUAUGCUGGUAUGGUGGUUUGGAUAGAUACGGCCCCCACAGAUUGAAUGCUUGGUUUACAAGGAGUGGAAAUAGUAGGAGGUGUGGCCUUGUUGGAGUGGGUGUGGUCUUGUUGGAGGAAGUGUGUCACCGUGGGGGGCGGGCUUUGAGGUUUCCUAAGCUCAAGCUAUGUCCAGUAUCUCUGCUGCUUGCAGAUCAAGACGUAGAACUCUCAGCUCCUUCUCUAGCACUGUGUCUGCCUAGAUGCUGCCUUGUUUCCUGCCAUGAAGGUAACGGACUAAAGCUCUGAAUCUAUAAACCACCCCCAAUUAAAUGUUUCCUUUUAUGAGUUGCUGUGGUCAUGGUCAUACAGUGGAACCCUAACUAAGACAGCUGCCCUCGUAUCUCCCUGGAUCUACUCUUCAAUCAUGUGUGUGCAUCCAUCUAUGGUGUUGCCUAAUUUGUCAACUGCACCACUUCUCCUCUCCCCUGGGGAACAUAUAAAAAUUAUAAUAAAAUGUUUGUUUCCUCCUAUGAAGUUGAAGUGUCACAGAAACUAUUCUCUGUUACCAAACCAAGUAAGCAAAUUAAAGCAAACACAGGAAAACCAAAUAACCCAGAUUUCCAAGGGUGGUGAAUUUACCUUGGGAAUUUUUAAAGACUAAUUCUUUUGUGUAGUACUUUAACAGUGAAGGUCUCCCUGGCUCAAAACUUCUAUAACAAGCAGACUUCUUUUAGUGAAAGAAAAUUUAGCCAAGAUUCAGUAUCAGUCAAGGCUAAGGGUCUGCUUCACUCUUAUUUUGAAUGGAGGAUACCAUGCUUAGGGAAGAUUCCAUGGGAAAAUUCCAAAUGUUCGCUGGCUUCUGUUCAGUCUCCUCUCAUGCCAGAUAAACCAAGCAUUCUCCUUUAUUGAAAACAGCUACUCAUACGAGAGUGAAGGGUUUGCUGUUACACUGGCCGUUCUGUGACCUUGAUCGUGACUGGUCUUGCUUUUGCUUGUGAGCAUCAUUUUGCCAGUUAGAUAUUUUUACCUUGCUGAAGGUUUUAUUCCAGCGUGUUCUUGAAACUGCAGUUGCUUUAGGGAAACCCACACCUAUUCUUGCCAUUCAUCCUUAGAUGAGCCAUCCUUUUGUUUACCACAUUGACUAUGCUCGGUUUGGGCAUGAAUUCUUUUUUUCUGGCCUGGAAAAAAAAUAUAUCAGCUAUCCAAUAUCUUAUUCAGUGCUGGCUUAUAUUAUUAUAGAUGAAAAAAAAACCACAUUAUUUUGAAAAAAUUGCCUCUAAUUAAUUUGUUUUUUAAAAUUCUGUCUUGGAAAAGAAAUUGACUCAUUUCAUGUCUAUAUCUCUUAACUCCUAUUUAUAUUCCCUUGACGAUACAGUAACAUGAAAAGUUUUACAUAUGUUUUACUGAUUGUCCUUUAGCUGGACCUAUCCAGGUUUUCCCACUUAAAAUUUUUGUGUAGUGUUAGAGAGGGAAACCUGUGCUAGACAAGUGUUUCUAAACCUCCGAACUACCUCCCAGCCCCUUUCAAUUUAAACAAGUAAGUGUCUCCGUAUGCGCUUUUAUGUGGAUAAUUCGUCCACAUGGAGAGAAACGCAGAAGGCUACAGUGUGAGAGUCUAGUGAAAUACCACCCACCUGCCCGUGCCCUAGCCUCAUGAUUCCCUUCUGCUGAGCUUUUAAUGCCUUCUGUAUAUUUCUUUCUAACGAGAACAUUUUAGUCCUUAUAUUGUUUGUCAGUGGCAUUGAGCAUGGCUGCUCACCUCUCCUUGUUUGUUGUGAUGGCACCCUCUGCACUCUCCUACUCCCCAUGUCCCCAUUCCAGUCUUUCUCCACCAUCUCUCUUUCUACUCUUCAAAUGGAUUUGGGGAAGUCUCCCUUUGAGCUUUUGAUCUAUUUUUGAAAUAUAAUUUAUUUAUUUUUAUUUGCUCAGAUGUAUGUGUGUGUGUGUGUGUGUGUGUGUGUGUGUGUGUGUGUGUGUGUGUGUGUGUGUGAGGAUGUUGGAUCCCCUAGAACUGGAGUUACAGACAGUUGUAAUCUGUCAUGUGGGUGCUGGGAAUUGAACCCUCGUUCUUUGGAAGAGCAGCUAGUGCUCUUAAUCACUGAAGCAUCUCUCCAGCUCCAUUUUUUCUUUCUUUUUUAUUGGUUAUUUUAUUUAUUUACACUUUAAUUGUUAUCCCCCUUCCUGGUUUCUCCUCCACAAACCCCUAUCCUUUAACCUCUCACCUCUGCUUCUAUGAGGAUGCUCUUCAAUCCACCCACAUACUCCUGCCUCACUGCUCUAGCAUUCCCCUACACUGGGGCACUGAGCCUUCACAGGACCAAAUACCUCCCCUCCCAUUGAUGCUAGAUAAGGCCUAUCCUCUGCUACAUAUGCAGCUGGAGCCAUGAGUCUCUCCAUGUAUACUCUUUGGUUGGUGGUUUAGUCCCUGGGAGCUUUGGGAGGUGUCUGGCUGGUUGAUAUUGUAGUUCUUCCUAUGGGCUUGCAAACCCCUUCAGUUCCUUCAGUCUUCCCCUUACUCUUCUAUUGAGAUCCCUGUGCUCAGUCUGAUGGUUGGCUGUGAGCAUCUGCAUCUGUAUUGGCCAGGCUCUGGCAGAGCCUCUUAGGGGACAGCUGUAUCAGGCUCCUGUCAGCAAGUGCUUGUUGGCAUCAGCAAUAGUGUUGGGGUUUGGUGUCUACAGAUGGGAUGGAUCCCUAGGUGGGGCAGUCUCUGGAUGGCCUUUCCUUCAGCUGUCCUCCACCUUUUGCCCCUACAUUUCCUUUAGACAGGAGCAAUUCUGGGUUAAUAUUUUUGAGAUGAGUGAGAUUUUUCUGGUGAACCUGGCUGUCCUGGAACUCUUUCUGUAGACCAGGCUAGCCUCAAACUCACAGAGAUAUGCCUGUCUCUACCUCUGCAGCACUGGGAUGGAAAGCAGGCACCAGCACUACCCAGUGCUUUUGGUCUGUUUAAAAAAGGGAUUUAUUUUAAUGUGGUGUGUGUGUGUGUGUGUGUGUGUGUGUGUUGUGCAAGGCCUCAGAGACUCGAAUUGGUUAUCAGGUCCCUGGAACUGGAGUUACAGGUUGUUGUUAGUGGUUCUAUGGAGUGCUGGGAACUGAACUUGGGUCCUUCAAAGAGCAGCAGGAUCCCUUAGCUGCUGAGUCAUCUUUCUAGACUUUUUAGACCUUAUUCUCCAUUUUAUCCACAUUUACUCCCUUGGUGUACUAAUGUAAGCUUAUGGAUUUUAGACACCAUCUCCAGAUUAGUAACAGUCAAAUUUUUGUCUCUUGCUUAAAUCCCAACUCGGUCCCCACUCCACCUUGUGUAACCAGUCACCUGCCUGGCUCUGCCACUUGCUUCUCCUGUAGACCUCAGAGAUAAGGUGCUCAAACCAGAACUCUGUGUUUUCUUUCACAAACUUGCUCUCUUUGUAUCUUUCUAGAUCUCAAGUGAAAGCAAUUUCAUCCUUCUUACUGUUCUAGAUGAAAUCCCCACAUCCCUGCCUUGGACCGAUUUCAUCUUGGCUGAAAGUUGCAUCGUUAGGUUUUUCCCUUGAUUUCUCUGAUUUUUAUUAAUUUUGUGUUCACUAAUAAGUAGUUUGUAGUUGGUUCAUCUAGGUACUUUAUAGCUUUUUCUUUUCUAGCUGGAGCGUCAGUCUUCUUGGCUUUUUAGUUCUGUAGAGAGCUCAGUGCCAGAUUCUAGGUGGAGUUACUUGAAACUGAAGAGAUAGCGUGGGAACUCAACUAGGAGAAAAUAUGUGCUAAUCAUCUGGGGACCACCAACGCAGUCUGUUCUAUUUCUACCCCUAUUAAAUCUCUACUUGCCUAUCAUAGAAUACCUGACACUGUCAGAGACAUGGGCCAAAGGAGACCCCUAUUUCCUGCUCUGUGAAACUGUGUUCUUUUUAUACUUUCUAAUGUGAAGCCUUCAGAUUUCCCCACUCUCUGGUUAUGCUUUUUGUCACAGUCAGACUUUUAUCCUUGCAAAAGAUGACUGUAAGUAACUUGUGGAGAAGAAAAACAUUAUUUAGGCUUAUAAUCUUGGACAUUUCAACCCAUCUACCAUGGUUUCCAUUGCUUUGGGGCCUAACAUUACUCCAUGAGAGGGAAGACACAGCUUGGCCAAGCUGGGAUGAAAAAGAAGUGGGCAGGCUUUUCUUAACCUUUCCAUGGGUACCCAUGUGACCUUUCCAGGGAUACCCAUGUGACCUGAGGGCUUUUCAUUAGGCAUCAAAUCUUAAAGGAUCCAUUCUGCUGGGACUCAGCCUUUAACACACCAGUCUGGAGGACAUUUAAAACCAAACUCUAGUCCUCUGUUUCUCCUUUUUCUUCUAUUUUAAUUUCUAAGCAGCUGUAAACUCCAAAUCAGAAUAAUAAAGAUGGAUCAUAAUUAACUUUCCAAUUUCAGCUCUGCUUCAUUGCACUUGAAAUGAUAUAGUCUAAAUUGAUACUUUAAUUAGGAUAACAUCGAGUUCAUUUUUAUAUCCAUGCUGAUGCUUGAAUAUAAAUGGUUUGAAACUCCCCCCUGCUAUCUGUACUUGUAGAGAAUUGCUUUGGAAAUAGACUUUAGGUAUGGGGUCCUGCCUGCAGUCUUUCUGGUAUUAGGCGAUUAAAGGCAUCAGAACCUUGCCGGAUACUUUUGGUUGUGAUUUCUGACUCUCCUGUUGAGGUCAGACAAUGGAGAUGUUGGUUAUUCUAGGGAGUUUAAGCCAUGACUGGGUUAUUUCCUGACAGUCUAGUUGUAGUUCCCAGAGUAAUUAUUUCUACAGCAGUACUAUGUGGCAUAGACGUGGUAUAGUAUUCAAUCCUCCCGAGGUUCAGAGGCAGAGGCUUGGGGAUUGUCGGGUGUUCAGGCAGAGCCAGGCAGGAGCAAUUUAGCUCCGUUUGCCUCCCCCAGAGCAGUUUCAUUUAUAUUGGGGUUGCACAGAAGAUUUGGUUUGACAGGGGUCUUCCAUAUUUUUUUGUCAAUUAAUUAGUUAGGCUUUCCUAAAGGAUCAUAAAGAGGGCAGGUCAUUGAAAACAUCUUAGUAGAAAUGAAAGUCAGCUCCAGUUGGCUGAUUAGAAUGUUACUUACUUGGGGGUUGACUGUGUCAGCCAGCGUGAAGGCUUUUAUAGUUACUCUGAGAGAGUAUGAACACCCUAGCCUCUAGGGUAUUCUGAUAGCACAAUUCUGAUAUUCCCCAAUGUCUGUAUAUGACCAUUCACAGUGGGACAUCUCCAGGAUACAAAGGGUAAUUAAUCCCAGUAAAGUAAGUGUAACGAUGCGUGUCAUCAGCUAGGAUUGUGGGCUCCAUGAGUCUUGACUCAGAUCUCAGUUUCUCUUGACCAUAAAGACUUGGUGUGAGGAUUAGAAGAAACAAUCCCCAGGAGAUGUAGCUGCUCAAUAAAUGAUCUCUUUCCUUCUCUACUGAUUUUCUCUGUUUCAUAGAUCCCAGUUACUGACAUUCUCAAGUUUCAACCUUGGAAACCUCCCAGUAUUUAUUGAUAGACAUUUUUGAGCAUAAACUUACACUAUAUUUCCUACUAGACUCUAAAUGCCUCAAAGCCAAGCAUAUUCUGACUUCACCCUGGUAUCUGAAACACCUAUUAGUCUUUGUCUAAACUCAUAUACUUUUCAAACAUAAAAAGACCCAUGAAGACAGCAAUAUAUUUGACUAUUACAUUUCCAGAACCCUGAACUUUUUUUAUCUCUUUGCAAAAUUCUGGGAUGUUUCUGACUCUAUUAGGAGUAGAGAAAUGAAAAAAGCACAAGAAAGACAUUUUCCUCACUCCAGUAAGUCUAUGGGAGAUGUGGUUAAACAUCCCUCUGGAGAAGGUUGUCAGUGGGUUGCUGGAACAUUCUAAUACUUAAUGAUUUUCAUCUGCAAGCCAUUUCUGGACAUUCUUCUCCAUGUGGUGAGGGCUGAGCUAAAGUUGACACUGUGUCAACAAAGUUUAAAAGUUUGGAGGGAAACCAAGGAGAGGUUUUCUUGGAGAAAUGAAAAAAAAAAAAAGUGGAGACCUAGGAGUGUGUGGCCUUUCAGCCAGUCUAAGGAAUAUUCAUGUAAUCUGUUAGGCACAGCCUCACGUAUGUUCUAAAUGAUGUGAUCAUCUAGAUAAAAUAGGAAGUUUCAUCCAAAUAUGUGUUUAGAUGAAUUUCAGUGAACCUCAUGACUAGCAACACAUUUUGUACAUCAUCUGAAAGAAAACCUCUCAGUGGUCUGGUGAAUACACUAUUCCUCACAACCUCUUAGGAACUUGCACAGCAUUGAGUCAAUACAGCAUUGAGCUUUCAUAAUGCCUGAUACUUAGGGACUGAGAAACAGGAAAAUGUCUCUAGGGCCCAAUGGGCUGGUCCUACUUCCUCUGCCUGUGUUGUGAGGAAGUGGGCUCAGUGGUUGGGAUCUGACUUAUCUUGGGCACUGGGCACUGGGCUGAGAGGGGAAGACAAAAGAAGACUGAGGCAGAGAUUCCAGGGAUGUUCCUGUGUGGCAUCCUGAGCCCAGGAACAGUAUUUCCAGAAUGUGUUGGGCUUGGUUUAUUUUCUGUAGUAGUUGGGAGCAGAGAGGUGGGAGAGUAAAUCAAUCAUCCAUGCUGGGCAAACACUAUCACAGAGCUACAUCCCCAGUCCACUUCGUCUUUUUAAAACAGUUUGAGAUAGGAUUCCUUUGAUUUUCAGAUCGUGCUUAUUGGCAUUGAAGAUUCUCGAAGAGACAGGCUCUGGGGAAAUUCCUGCUGCUAUAGCAGAAUAUCCAAGACCAUUAACUUACAAAGGGGAUGAUUUUACCUCACAUUUUUUAAAAAAAGAUUUGUUUAUUUAGUAUAUAUAAGUACACUGUCGCUGUCUUCAGAUACACCAGAAGAGGGCAUCAGAUCCUAUUACAGAGGGUUGUGAGCCACCAUGUGGUUGCUGGGAUUUGAACCCAGGACCUCUGGAAGAGCAGUGAGUGCUCUUAGCCGCUGAGCCAUCUCUCCAUCUGUGCUUGGUUGGUCCCAUCGUUUUUGGGCCUGUAGUGAGACAGCACGCUCUGGAAAGAGUGUGUGAGAGAAGAAUAUUCCCACUUCCCAAUGAGUCAGGAAAGAAAAAACAAACAACAAGAAGAAGAAGAACAACAAGACGGUGACAACAACACCACCACCAACAAAAAGGAAGUAAGGAAGCAAGGUCACAUAAUACCAAGGAGUUUCCCACAAGACUCCAAGUCCCACCCUCAGGAUCAAGUCUUUAGUACGUAGUUCUUUGGUUAAUUAUUGAAACUAUAGGAGGUGCAUCCAGCCAACAUGUAGAUGAUAUUAGCUUUUAGGCAGAAGCUUACUCAUUUUCUGUGGGGUUUACUCCUUUCCUGUUCAUGCUCCUCCUCUAAGAUGAAAUGACAAGAUUUAAAGGAACGACUUGUUUCUGGUGUCUGUGAGGUCUUGCUCUUGACUAGUGGUUCUGAGAACUCUUACAGGUAUGAGCUCAUGGACCACCCGAGAAAGCCUGGCCCCGUAGUAACAAGGGCUGACUCCAACCCAGUUGGGGUGGAUCGGAACAUCUGAUCUGGGUUUUGCGGGGAGGUGGAGGGGGAGUUGUGACCUUGACCUCAUAGCCCAUUCUUCUCUAUCAACUUUAAAAUAUGAAUCUAUUUCAGUAGGGUUGCAGUGAUGAGGGGCUCCUUUGGAUUUGUAAAUUCCCUCCUACAGGGACAAAGCCCCAUCUUCUGGAGAAUCGACAUGACCAGGGUCAGUGAUAACGCAGGCCGAGCGAAUUACACACAGACCUAGGUAGGAGAGUGUGGGACAAAUGGAAGUCAGCUCCAUCCUAUGUUAAAAAUGUUAAAGGGAGAAUAGACUUGUCAGUAUCCAGGCAGGAAAAGUGAGUGUUCCAGAGAAACAUUCUGUUGAUUUGCCAGGGCUCCAAAGCUGGGCCAGAGCCCUGGGGAGUCUCUUGAGCAUCUAGAUUCUAGUCACACAAGGACCGCCUGAAACAUGGUGUCCAGACGGAAUAGAAAGAAACAGACAAGAAUAUAAAGAUUUCAGAAUGCCUCUUUUCGGGAAGAGCCAAAAGCAAUGGUACAGGAUGGACGCGCUCCUCAAAAGCAGAAGCGAGAGACAGCUCCAUUGUUAGAAGUAGCACAGAGGGCUGGAGGGACGGCUCUGCGGUUAAAGCACCCGGCAGCGGUACAGAUGUGAGGACCAGAGUUCGGAUCCCCCAAGACCUACAUAAAUGCUGGUUGGGUGUGGGGGUCCUCUCUGUCAUUCUAGACUCUGAGGACAGCGAUUGGAGAUUCCCAGAGCAAGCUGAUUAGAAAGGCUAGACCUAUCAGUGAACUCUGGGUUUGAUUGAGAAACCCUGCCUCAUUGAAUAAGGUAGAAGAGACACUGGGGACAUUGCCUGAUAUCAACCUUGGGCUUCUACGUGUACAGGUGCACAUAUGUUCAGUGCACCCCCAUACAUGCAAAUACACACAUAUCACACAUGUGUGAUGAAAAAUGGAAAAAGAGACAAAACGAUGUAGUAGUACAAUAGUUCCUCCUAGUUGAAAAAAAAAGUGAGAAUACUUAGGUUGAUGUAUUAUAGAGUUGUAUUCUGCUGUGACUUACAACAGAAGACUCAAAAGUGAAGUCAGCAAAAGGAAGAAAUGCCUUGGGAAGGCCAGACACAGUAAGCGUGCAUUUUUGAGUCCUCUCCCCGGGGAGCCACCGAGGACAUGCUCAACUUCCCAGACGCGACACUGGGAAAACGCUUGUGAUGCUUGCUUAUGAAGGCAUUCGUUAGAGACUUGGCGUUCAGGGGUUUUGUUGGGAGUUAAGGACACCUUCCCAAGCACAGAUCAAGACUGCAGACUUCCAGAGGGAAGGCAGGUGCCCCGAAGAAGUCCUUCUGCUAAACACUUCAGGUACAGUGAACCAUGCUUGUCAUGUAGGGCUGUGUGAACAAAUUCCCAGAUACCAUUUGAAGACUGACAUUUACCAAAAAGUACUGUCAGAAGUUAUUUCAUUCAUUCAUUCACUCAUUCAUUCAUUCAUUGAUUAUGUUUAUGUGUAUCCAUGUGUGCCUGCAUGAGUUUAUGUGUACCAUGUAUGCUCAGGAGUUCAUAAGAGGGUGUCAGAUUCCCUGCAACGAGAGGUACACAUGGUUGUGAGCUGUCCAACAAGGGUGCUAGGAACCUAAUCCGGGUCCUCUGUGAGAGCAAUGAGUGCUCCUAACUGCUGCCUUAGUUAGGGUUACUGUUGCUAUGAUGAACCACCAGGACCAAGAGCAAGUUGCAGGGGAAAAGAUUUAUUUGGGAAAAGACUUCCACAUCAUGGUCCAUCCCUACAGGAAAUGGGGACAGGAACACAUACAGAGGAGGAACCUGGAAGCAGGAGCUGAUGCAGAGGCCAUGGAGGGGUGCUGCUUACUGGCUUUGCCCUCAUGGCUUGCUCAGCCUGCUCUCUUCUAGAACUCAGGAGCACCAGCCCAGGGCUGGCACCACCCACAAUAGGCUGGGCCCUCUGCCAUCAAUUAAGAAAAUACCUUCCAGGUUUGCUUACCGUAUGACCUCAUGGAGAUAUUCUUUUUCAGUUGAGGUUUCCUCCUCUCAGAUGACUUUAGCUUGUGUCAGGUUGACAUAAAACUAACCAGCUCAGCUGCUGAGCCAUCCCUCCAGGCCCUGAAAAUGGACUUUGUAAGAAAACCGGUGUGUCCCCUUGUCUACGUAGCUGCCCUGACUGAUGGGAAGAUAAACUUAGAAGAAAUGCUGAAGCUAUGGGACUUUUGUUCAGUUUGUGUCUCUCUCGAGGGGACAGAUGUGAUCAAUUUUGGAUGACAGCAGCUCACCUCCAUGAGAAUGCCAGGUCUGAGAUCUCUGUCUUCAGUUCUGCUCUCCACCCCUGUGCCUGGGCAUUGAACCCAACUGAGCAACGGAGUGUAGCUUUUCUGACAGUUUAGGAGCCUGUGACACAUUUCUUAGCUGUUGGGAUGGGGCGAUGACUCAGAACCCAGGCAAAAGUCAAGUGGGUAUGGAGGACCACUAGUAAUUCUAGUCUCAGGGGUAGAGACGGGAUCCCCAGAGUAAGCCAGUUAUGAAGACUAGCUGUAUCGCUAUGAACACACACAAAACCACAUACAGGGACACAUGAUAUCAUAUGCACAUAUGUGGGAAAUGGAAAAGAAUCCUUCUGGGGUAACAUUUGCAAAUAAUGUGGCCUAGUAGCCAAAGGCAGUGCUCCUAUGAGACUCUUGGAACAUGUAGACAUUCCACAGCUACACUGAAGUCGUGCACAUAGGGCUCUUCUUUGUGUGGGGGUGUGGGUGUGGGUAUUAGUGUUACACGUCCGGAUGUUGUCACUGACUUUGUUUCUGUGGAGAUUCUGAAUGUGGUAUAUAAUGUGUGUAGUCAGCCCUAAUCUUUCUAAAUUCCACACUUCUGGCCUCAGAAACAGCUGGAUGAGGUUUAUUCCUGUCUGGAGAAAUUAACAAAUCUAAUCUGAAGUGGGACUGGAAAUAGAUGCGUAAAAUCCGAUGCUCCAGAUGAGAAAGCCCUUACUAGGUCAUUUAGUCCGCAGCUGGGUUUUUCUCGGCACAGCUUCCUGUGUUCCAACAGAGCCAGACUCAGGUUCCCGUGACUGGAGAUGCUCUGCUUCCGGCGAAUACAGCUGGGCGUUUCACGGAGAGAACCCCUCUCCUGGGGGCUCUUCAGAUAGUCUGUGAGAAGGGAACCUUGUAGUCAGGAGGAAGAAUUAGGAGGGAAAGAUUCAGGGCAAGGACCUCUGGGAAGAGAAUGCUGGAGACACACGGCAAACAGGGGCACAGUAGGUGCAAAUGCAGUGAGGUGGGCCGAGUAAAGACCCAGGUUGCUGAGUACUGAGCAGGAAGGAUGCUACAGAGGGAAGCGGUGAAUGAAUAAAGCUUCAUCCCGAUUGUGAGUUCAUUUGUAUUGUGAAUAGAUUUAAUGGGAAACUCUAACUGUGAGUUUAAGAGUAACGCUGGACCUCCACCUCCCUAUCUUUUACACUGGUGCAUGAUAAAAAUCCAACUUUAUGACCGAGCUAUGGCUUGAGUGUAUUACCUAGAGCCUGUGUGCUGGCGUUAACCCCAAAGAUGCAAGGAGAAAAACUCUGACCCAAAUCAUCCUGGCCAAAUUAAUCAAAGCAAACCUUUUUGUUGGUGUACACGGACAGGGGCUGCUUCCUCCUGAGGUGUCAUUCAAGAGGUCAGCCUUGAAAUCAAACGAUAAAAGUCUUUAUAGCUCAUGGGUAGAGGUUUUCCAAAUGGAGGAUUUGGCAGGUCAAUGGGCAGGGUUAUAGAGACAGAACGUAAUAAGGUGGUCACAGCGAGGUCGUCAUAGCAAGGUAGUCAUAAUAACCCUUUGAAACAAAGGUAAGGUUGCAAUAUGGUCAUAACGACUUUCUGAAUCAAAGACAUGGUUGCCGUUUCCUGGAGCAUGGGAUACAGAACCAUUUGUAGUUAAGGUUACAGGUGGGCCUAGCCCAAUCUGUGAGAAACAGGGGUUUCCUCAUAAACAGGAAUGAGCCUAGUUUGUCUUUUUCAUAAGAUGGAGGCAGGUUAGUUCAUCGUUGGGAACAGAGUCUUCAGUGCAUCGCUGUGGAGAGCCGGGCCCUUCAGGCAUCGAUUAACUCAUAGGAGCUCUGAUCUAUGAAUGAGUUCAUGUCUCCAUCAUGGGAACGGUCUUGUUGUGAGAGGACUGGCUGUCAAUCAAAGGACUUUGACCUUCUCUUGUCUUGAUGCCUACCUUGAAUCUUCUGGUAUGGAAUAAUGAAAACAAAGCAAAGCAAACAAACAAACAAGAAAACAGAAACAACAACAAAAGCACUUAUCACAUGCCAAGCCCCCUAACUUGGACUUUUCUGGCUUCUGGAGCUUGGGGACAUAUAUCUUUGUUUUUCUAUAGAUGACCUACUCUUGGUAUUCUGUUAUAACAGCAGAAAUCAGAUGCACAGACCAAGGCAGUUGUAUUUCAUCUAAUGUUUUUCACCCACCUGGCAGUGAACAAUAUAUUUUUCUCUCCCAAAGGGUAGGAUCACCAGAUCUGAGCUGGCUAAUGAGAGACUAGUGGUUAGACAGACUCCUUGGCAGACAGACAGACAGAGAGAGUCAGAUAGACAGACAGACAGGGAAUGUGGCUAGUUAAUAGAGAUGAACUUCCAAGAUUGCUGGGUUUUCCCUCGCCCUCAUGAACUGAGAAGAACCAGGAAUCUUAAAGGCCUUGUAGGCUUUUGUCUCCCCCACCAAUCAGCUCCCUGCUGAUGGACUGGAUCAAGAAGCUCAAGGCUGGACCAGGACGUACUAAACAUCAGUUGUGGGCCAACCAUCCUGUCUCUGUUCAAAUGGCCCAACCCUAAAUUAGGGGAGUAAAACUCUCCAGAAAUUUAAAAAACCUCAGACCUUGAAAAGAGAUUGAGAGAUUGUUUUAAGCUUCUCAAGUCCCCAUCAUCUGCUGCUUCACAUGGGGUCUUUUCUCUGUCUGCUGCAUGAGUUUGUCCCCCAUCUCCCAUAAAUGCAUUUCCUCAAAGGUGUUUCUGUCUGCUGCUAUCUGUGGUAUUUGGGAUUUCCCUCAUGCUACCUGUUGUGCCUAAGAUAUUUCCUCCUUUGUAGUGCUGAUAGAGAAAAAAACAGACCAAGACGGCACCACUAACACUCUUAGUCACCUACUCUCUCUAGUGUGUUUUCCUGAGAUAGAAAGCUGAGCUUUCUACAAUAGAAGAAGUGUGUCUAUCCACGUCAUUAUACAUGAUACCGGCCCAACACUUCAGUAUGUAAAGGAGAAGUACACACAAUUGACAGAUUUCCUGAGGCCCACAGGAGGCCGGCAGCUACGGUUCAAGUCUGCUCCCACCUAUCAUCACCCUUCCUCCUCCAGCUUGCUGCUGCAAGAGCUGCUGGAUGGGAAAACUGCCCAGGACCAGCUUACAGAGCAUUUCCUUACCCACCAUGCUUUGUACCUGGGUAGAGAAGACAAGCCCUGCCCCCUUGAGUGACAGAUGGGGAGGAGCAGGGGCUGCAUCCGGCUCUGACUCUUUCCUGGCUCCCUUUUCUUUGCUUCGUACUCCUCAUGAGAAUCUCCAAUGCGCUUCUUUUCACCAGCGUGAUGUUCUGCCCACCUAUAGGAGCCAAGCCACUAUCGAGGGACCCUCUGAAACUUCGAACCAACCUUUCCUCUUGUAAGAUGUUCUCUCUCAUCACGGCUAUGCAAAAGUAACUAGUUUCCCUCCCAAAUCAUUGUGGUUGGGUUUAUACUGACCUCUCCUGUUCAGCCUCCUGGAUCUAUUUUUCAUGAAAACAUACGUGUGGGAACCAAAGUCAGUCCCUCUGAAAGAGUGGUGUGUGCUCUUAACCGCUAAACCAUCUAACUCUCUGGCCCCUAGAUAUUUAUUUUAAAAACUCAUUGAACAAGUAAAGUAUAAUACUUUAUUUAUCUAAGGAAGGGAUGUGAAACCACCAAAGGAAGAGACACUGAGAUUAUCAAAAAGACUUAUCCGAGAUGGAAAUUACUAAAGCAGAUCUGAACUAGUCAGUGAGAUUUUGGAAGGCAAAGGGAGAAACUGUUACAGAGUUCCAGAAAAUAGAAUUAAGACAGAAAGGAUAAAGACAGUGUAAAAAAAAAAUAGAGGGCUAGGCUAGAGGAAUCAACUUUUUAAAGAGAGCUCAAAGAGAGGAGAUUGAAGAAAUUAUCCAAGAAGCAAUUCAAGAACUUUUCCUAGAAUUGAUGAGUGUGAAGUUUCCAGAUACGUCCUCUGAGUGCCCAGUGUGAUGGUCUAACAGAAGCCAAGGCAGUGCACACUGAUGGACAUUUCAGGGUACUGUGGGGAAAGAGUAGGCUUUCUGGCCUUCAGCGGGAGAAGCAGGGCUACAGGGUGGGAUGAGGACCUAGAGGGCCUUUGGUUUCUCAAUAGCAGCAGUGGAAGCUGGAAGACAAAGGGGGGGAGGGUGGCCUCUGCACUCCAUGACACCCAGCUGUGAUUUAUAGGAACCAAGAGUGAGGCUUGCCCAGAGCAUUGCAGGCAGGUACAGCACACGUGUUACUUCUGCUGAUACUCCUACUCUCCAGGAUUUAGGAAGCAAAAUGAGAGUAUAUGCACAAGCUACACACGAACUACACACACACACACACACACACACACACACACACGAGAGAGAGAGAGAGAGAGAGAGAGAGAGAAACACAGAUAGAGACAGAGAGAAUGAGACAGAGAGAAUGAGACAGAGAGAAUGAGACAGAGAGAAUGAGACAGAGAGACAGAGACAGAGACAGAGACAUACACAGAAAAAUAGGGUCCAGGAAGCCAGAAAUUCAAAGUUGGCUGGAGGUGAAGAAUCUCACUGGGCUGUAAGCUCUCUGUUCCCGGCAGACCUGGAAACCAGGUAUAAAUGAAGCGGGGUGAGAUAGGUUCUGAGAGGCAAUGCCUGUGAGAAAGUUAGCCUCCUGGAAAAGCUGAUGGGCUUGGAUGACUGCGGGCAGGCUUGGACUGUCGGCAGAGAAUUUGGAAAUAAAUUGGUACUGAGUGUUUAACAGGUGUGUUAAUGUCCCCUGCAAUAUGAGAAAUCACAUGAUGACUGCUAACUAUGUCUCUUCUUACAUUUCCAGAGGCCACAAGUUGAAAAGAAGUUUUUUUGAUUGCCCUCAGAGUCCUUGCAGGCCUCGCCUCCUCCAGAGGCUUUAGGGCAGUGUUGCUCUCACUGUUCCUAAGGCUGUGACCCUCUAAUACAGUGCCUUAGGUUGUGGUGACCCCCCGCCAUCAAAUUAUUUUCACAGCUACUUCAUAACUGUAAUUUUGCCACUGUAUGAAUUAUAAUGUGAGUAUCUGUGUUUUCUGAUUGUCGUAGGUAACCCCUGUGAAAGGGUCAUUCUACCUCCAAAGGGGUCAUGACCCACAGGGUGAGAACUGCUAUUCUACCGGAAAGUUCCUCUUCCUCCCUGUUCUGUUCUCUACAGCACAGUCCUCCUGGUCUCUGGCUCAAGGAACCUUACCCAGCUUCAGAGCUCCAGGCAACGCCAUGAGGCCUCCUGUUCUCAACAAUGGAAUCUGCCCCAUACAGGAGAACUGGUGAAGACGUUAGGGCCUGACCCGAUGGCCAAGGACACUGUCUGACCUGGUCUGAAUGCAGCACCCUUCCCAAAUUCACACAUCAACAUUACAUCAUUAAUGUGCUGGGAUGAACAGGUGGAGCUUGAGGAAGCUGAAGAUGAGACUCAGGGACAACUCUCAGCAAAUGAGGUCGUGACCUCUUGUCUUCUUGCCAGAUGAGGAUCCAGCGCUCACCUCUUCUUGGAGAAGCAGCAGUUAAGCAGACUGCAGUGUGCCCGAGGGGCCAGGCUUUGAAUGAGCAGUCCUUCAAGUGUGCCUGACCGACAGCAAGCAUCGGGAAGCUAUUGAACGGGUACAUCUAGUCUCCAGAUGAGAACAAGAUGAACACAGAAGGCAGGUAGGAGGGGGCAGCGUGAUGGAGGAGGAAGAUUGGAGUUCAACCAUGAGUCCCCCCAUAGUCAAGCACCAGGGCAUUCACGGAAGGGUGGCCUGUAUCUUACACAGUUGACCACAAGCUGCUCUCUGACGAACUCAGCAGCAAGCUCACUAUGUCCCUUCCAGAAUAAUCUCUGAGGUUAAGAGAAAGGUGUGUCAACAGGAAGUCAUGCUGAACUUAAAAACCAUCUGCUUUGGUCUUUUCUGCUCACAGCCCAGAUACCGGACACACAGCCAAGACUGAAACAGCAGUGACUGGCCAAAGCCAUUGGUUGUCUUAAUGACUGCUUUCGGUCAUUAAGAUGCCUGGAUUGGAUUUAUCGCCAACGAGCGGAUCGAUUACUUGGUGCUCAUCUGCAAUCUAAGCCUUUCUGUGUCUCCACUUCGGUUAUUUCAUUAAGAUGGAUGGGCUGGUGAUGCCACACCCCCUGGGAAGCUGGGCUGGAGAGCUCUGCCUGAAUGGAGCAUUAGAGAGAGAAAAAUAAACCGGGCCUAGGGAAGGAAGAAGGGCCGCGCGGUACGAGGCUCUUAGUUCACAUCCGGUGGUGCUGGGUGAGCCACUCAGCCUGCAGCUGCUGGUGAUAGCUCAUGCUGAGGGUCGCAUGGUCUUUCAGGGGGGUUGUCUACGUUUGCUGAGUGUGGAUGCAGCUUUGUGGAGGUUUUUAGGACUCUAUUUUCCAGUCUUGGAGUGUCUUCCUGUGCCAAAAUCUGUCUUUGUUCUAGCAUGGAUCUCUGUCAUGUUCUGGAAGGGUCAUCCUGCCACGACAGACUUUUCUGGGGAAACUAAACGUCCUCAUGUCCGUUGUUUGUGCUUCUUGAAGCAGCUACAAUAAAAUAAAAGCACAGAA